UGCUUCUGGUCUGUCUGUUCACUUCCGUUUUCGACUUCAAUGCGGAAUUUUCCACAAUCGAAUUUUGGAACAUAAGUUGAAGGGUAUCUAUUUAUUUGAGCUCUAAAGGUCGAUGAAUCACGGGUGGAACUUCGUUCCGGAAUUUGUCAUGAUCAUCUGAGAUGGUAGCCAUUGUCAAUAAGAGAUCGAAUUUUUGCGUGCGAUCAUUGAAUGCCAACUCUCCAUCCAAUGCUAGGACUCACACCAAAACAUUCCAACGACAGGUUAAUGUUAUUGUGUGGUUUGUUGUAAACAAUACUGUCACAAACGCCACGGACCAGUUCUAGCUUGUGCAGUGUAUCUUAGGCAGAACAGAUCAGCCAUGGCUGGAAAAAGUAGACAAACUCAGCGACUUACAUCUCACGUGUCGGUGGACGCUGAACCGAGCUACUCAUUACAUUCUUGGCAAGGCACCCACAGACUUAUACCUGGGCUAUCUAGCUCAUUUGAUGAUUCAAACCCAGAGGAAAUGAAGGAUAUGAUACGACAGUACUAUGAUAGAUUGCCUUCAGAUGUCAAGAUAGGGUAUUAUGAUGUGAUGAUUCUGUAUGCAGAGGAAGAUCGAGAGCUUGCUGAACAAUACAGAGAUCAUCUACAGAACGACAUUGAGCUAGACGGAGGUCGACGAGUGACGGCAGUGUUAUAUGAUGAUCAGGAGAUGGUAUCACUGGCUGGAAGCAAAUUAAAGAGUUUGGAUUAUGGUUUCCAGAGGUGUACAUUUGCAUUUAUUUAUCUAACCAAGAGAUUUUGUCAGUGUGAAUGGUCUACUCUCUCUAGCGAGGAGUGCUUAAUGGAGUCUAUCUACAACCCAGAGAAGAAGUGGUGCGUGGUGCCUGUCUACACCGUGGCCCGGGCAAAAGCAGACUUCAAGAUCCCCAUGGGGCUGAAUGCUUUGAAAGGUGUGAACUUUUACAACAAUGAUGAUUUUUAUCGCAGAGGUCUACGACGUUUAAUUGGGGACAAAGUCAUGGUGAGACUUCAGAAAAACCAGGAGCAUUUUAGGAAGCAAUACAAGCAUGCAUGUCAAUUAAGAAAUGAAGACGUUGUGAGGAGAAAAACGGAGGAGGACUUAAAACGGUACGAGGAGGAAAAACACAGGUUCCUGCAGCAGGAACUAGAGAGUAGAGGAAUGAAAGAAAAUAUGCGGCCAUCAACAGAAUAUGCGGUUUCUGGGCAGAAGGAGAGGAUGUCUGAUUCCAUGGUGAUAGAGAAGCAGAAUAAGAGACUACAAGAAUAUCAAAAAUAUCCUGUACACAAAAAAUCUCCAGUGGAAUCGAGGAUAGAGGAUUUUGGCUCAGAAGUUAAAUAUGAGGCUAUGUUAACAGAUCGCCACAUGUCUUUCCAUGAGAAAGAAAAAUAUGUGUCAUUUGGAAAGGUACCGGUCAUGCAUGAUUUGAACCCAGCUAAGUGUGAUGGGAAAGGACUUGAUGAUAGUGCUUUAUUAGAUGUGGACUACUCCAGUGGGGGGCACUCUGAGAAGGUACAAAUAGACGAAGAUGGCUUAACAAAAGUUCAUGUCCAUCACUACCACCAUUACCCAGAGGGCCCUGGACAAGUCGUGAAGAACUUCAACAUCGUCGGGUCUGAAAAUGUUGCCAUUGGUGAGAACGCCACUAUCGUAACAACAUCUGAAGGUGGUGAGGUCAUAAACGAGGAGGAAAAGAGGCCAGACAACAGUUUAAGGUCAGGAGCAUAUUCAGUGGACGGUGGAAGGAGUUCACAGACUGAAUCUCUGUCGGACGAAAGUACUCAAUCAUACAGCAGUCUGCCAACUCCAGAAGCUCAAGUCGUAAAUUCAGCAAAGAUAGAUCUGCAAAAACCACCAGAAGACACUCCACGUAUCACAAACAAACUUCAGAAAAAUCCUCCAUCACUCAGGACAGGGGAUACAAGUGAAAAGAAGAUAGAUUCUAAACCGAUAAGUGAGGGCUCUGGUGAUGGUGGCAGUCAUUCGGUGAUCACAAAACCCCCACCAAAUGAUUAUAGUUCCACUAAGUUGGUAUCAAAGCCAAUCCGACCUUUCGAGCAGAAACCUAAACCGGUGGUGGCCACUGUAUCUCCCAUGCCGUCUGUGAGUAAAUCGAGCAUGGAACCGUCGGAUGAUACUGAGCUGAAGUCACCAUAUGAGAGUACAGAGGUCAAAACGCCUUAUCAAAGUGACAGGAAUAGUUCGGUGAAUGAAGGCGAAAAUACAGACCUAAAACAAGUUAUUCCAAACCAGAACAAAAGUAGUUCUCCGGAGCAGAAGUCAGGGGAGACUACUGUGAAACAAGUGCAACCUAUAUUGCACAUUAAACCAAGGGUAGGAAAUGGUGUGGAGAAGGUCCAUCAUAAACCUGAAAAUAUCGCAAGUCCUACUCGCAGGGUCGUGGCCCCUCAGGUGUUUGGGAAACCUUCAACCUGUGAUUCUUCAGAUGUGGAUGAGGAUGGCCCUUGCUCAGUCCCGGGUUCUGGGAGGGAAAGUGAAGAGUUUGUAACCGUGACCGAGGCGGACGUAGCAUUGUAUGAUGACGCAAAAAGCAUUGGGACCGAUGUGGACAGCGGCUUCGUGCUGACACAGGUAGAGAAAAAUUCAGAGUGUGUGAAGCAGGCCUUGGCAAUGGGAUACCCAGAAAAUGAUGUCAAGCGAGCUCUGAUCAAAUUACGCACCAAAGGUAAAUAUGACAUAAACCUUCUGUUGGACGAGAUGACGAGAAUCAAGGAAUCAGCUUCCCCCAAGUCAGGUAAAGGUAAUGCUAUCUAACACAAUCAAUUUCCCCUCAAUCAGAUAACACUGUCACAGGGAAUCAAUUUCCCCUCAAUCAGAUAACACUGUCACAGGGAAUCAGUUUCCCCUCAAUCAGAUAACACUGUCACAGGGAAUCAAUUUCCCCUCAAUCAGGUAACACAUUGACACAGGGAAUCAAUUUCCCCUCAGUCAGGUAACACUGUCACAGGGAAUCAAUUUCCCCUCAAUCAGAUAACACUGUCACAGGGAAUCAAUUUCCCUCAAUCAGAUAACACUGUCACAGGGAAUCAAUUUCCCCUCAGUCAGGUAACACUGUCACAGUGAAUCAAUUUCCCCUCAGUCAGGUAACACAUUGACACAGGGAAUCAAUUUCCCCUCAAUCAGAUAACACUGUCACAGGGAAUCAAUUUCCCCUCAAUCAGAUAACACUGUCACAGGGAAUCAAUUUCCCCACAAUCAGGUAACACUGACACAGGGAAUCAAUUUCCCCUCAAUCAGAUAACACUGACACAGGGAAUCAAUUUCCCCUCAAUCAGAUAAGACUGUCACAGGGAAUCAAUUUCCCCUCAGUCAGGUAACACAUUGACACAGGGAAUCAAUUUCCCCUCAGUCAGGUAAUACAUUGACACAGGAAAUCAAUUUCCCCACAAUCAGAUAACACUGACACAGGGAAUCAAUUUCCCCUCAAUCAGGUAACACUGACACAGGGAAUCAAUUUCCCCUCAAUCAGGUAACACUGUCACAGGGAAUCAAUUUCCCCUCAAUCAGGUAACACAUUGACAUAGGGAAUCAAUUUCCCCUCAGUCAGGUAACACUGUCACAGUGAAUCAAUUUCCCCUCAGUCAGGUAACACAUUGACACAGGGAAUCAAUUUCCCCUCAAUCAGAUAACACUGUCACAGGGAAUCAAUUUCCCCUCAGUCAGGUAACACAUUGACACAGGGAAUCAAUUUCCCCUCAGUCAGGUAAUACAUUGACACAGGAAAUCAAUUUCCCCACAAUCAGAUAACACUGACACAGGGAAUCAAUUUCCCCUCAAUCAGGUAACACUGACACAGGGAAUCAAUUUCCCCUCAAUCAGGUAACACUGUCACAGGGAAUCAAUUUCCCCUCAAUCAGGUAACACAUUGACAUAGGGAAUCAAUUUCCCCUCAGUCAGGUAACACUGUCACAGUGAAUCAAUUUCCCCUCAGUCAGGUAACACAUUGACACAGGGAAUCAAUUUCCCCUCAAUCAGAUAACACUGUCACAGGGAAUCAAUUUCCCCUCAGUCAGGUAACACAUUGACACAGGGAAUCAAUUUCCCCUCAGUCAGGUAACACAUUGAAACAGUGAAUCAAUUUUCUCUCAGUCAGGUAACACAUUGACACAGUGAAUCAAUUUCCCCUCAGUCAGGCAACACACUGACACAGUGAAUCAAUUUCCCCUCAGUCAGGUAACACAUUGACACAGGGAAUCAAUUUCCCCACAGUCAGGUAACACAUUGACACAGUGAAUCAAUUUCCCCUCAGUCAGGUAACACAUUGACACAGGGAAUCAAUUUCCCCACAGUCAGGUAACACAUUGACACAGUGAAUCAAUUUCCCCACAGUCAGGUAACACAUUGACACAGGGAAUUUUUAGUUUCCUCUCAGUCAGUUAACACUGAGUCUUUCUUACACAGUGAGUCAGUUUCUCAUUCAUGUAAUGCUAUCUGGCACAACAGAUUUAAACUUUUUCAGGUGAGAUCAUACCCUCUGAAAAUGGCUAUAGCUAAGCUACAUUUGAUCAGUUUGAAAUUUCCUUCAAACUGUUGUUCAUGAUUUUAUAGGUUAAGUUACCAAAAUGACAGUCACAAAGGAAUGACAUGUUGAAAUUGUGUCUAUGUUGUGUGUUUGCCAUCCAUGAUCUUUUGAUGUUGGAUAUGGACUUGUGCAUAUGUCCUUAUUUGAAAAUUGUGUUCAGGUUAUGACAACUCUAGUACUAAAUGUCCCAAUCUGUUGUGUCGUGUACUGUUAUUCAGGAUUUAAAGAUUGUGUUAUGAUUUCACGUCAAUGUCACAUCACCAAUGUCAAGGUUACAGGAAAAAUCUUUUUAAAAAACCAUGUAGUGAUACUGUUCAUAUUAUCAUUAAAAUAUACAAGUCACAACAAGUCAAGCUUGUAAGGGAAUUGGAAGAUGUCUACACAAAGUUUCUGUUGUCAGAUUGUUAGGUGUCCAACCCAUAUUAGAACCAAAUUAUAUCUCAUCAAGGAAACGGCAUAUCGUUCAAAUUUUUGUACAUGUACUAUCAUUUUGAAGGACGUAAUAAUCAGAAAUGUUUUACAACGUGAUUUGGAAAAUGAUGAUCCUCUGAUUAAAUAUAUUGCUCAUUAUCCCCUUUCAUUGAUAUAGUAACGGGACCAUCGUGGGGGCUAAGCAUGUGUGCGUGUGUGUGUGUAUAACAUAGGCCUAGUAGACAACAGCCCAGUUUCAAAACUUUCAGGUGUGUUGGUAUGUGUUUGAAUGUAUGUCACACUGAGCUUGUAGACACUCUACAGGUCACAUAUUUUUGCUUUAUGUAUUUGAUACUUCACCUGUAGCUUUGCUAUCAAGAGAGAAAGAACUCUAUUGAUUUGGGGGUCAAACAAGGUAAGGUCAAGGUCAUUUCAUUACUUUCUUUAAAAAAGCGUGUAGACACUCUACAGACCACACUGUUGAGCUCCAUUGAUUUCGCAUGUCACAUGUAGCUUUGUUGGCAAGAAAGGAAGAAUCCUAUUGAUUUUGAUGUCAAAGGUCAAGGUCACAACUGGACUUCAUAGAUAAAAAAUUGUAGACACUCUACAGGUCACAUUAUUUGCUCAAUUUAUUUCAUACUUCACAUGUACCUUUGUUAUAGAGAGCAAGAGCCACAUUGAUUUUAGAGUCAAAGGUCAAGGUCAGUACAAGGUCAGGAUGUAUGUUUGCUGAUUGCCUACAUUGCGAGGAAUACCUGCUUUUGGAGCUUGUGUUAAAAGUUUGCAUUAAUCUGAAUAACUAAUUCUUCAAUUUGAAUGAAAGCUCAUUUAAAAACAGGGGAAAUAACUCAUAAGUAAGUUGAAGGUAUAUGGAUGGAUUGAUGGUUUCCAUACACAAUUACCCACAUAAUUAUACAGUAUAAAACAUUUAAUCCAAAUAAUGUAUAUUUAUUGAUUUAAUAGUUUAGUGUUAUUGCACUGUGGAUUUUAAAGGGUCAUUGGUUCUUGUACAGUAAAACAAGGUUAUAAUGAACCUCCAGGGCCAGCAAAAAAACAGUUUGUUAUAACCAAACUUCAUUAUACAGUAAAACACAGUUAUAGUGAACCUCCAGGCGCAGCACACACAAUUCAUUAUAACCAAACUUCUUUAUACAGUAAAACACAGUUAUAAUGAACCUCCAAGACCAGCAAAGAACAGUUCAUUAUAACCAAACUUCAUUAUACAGUAAAACACAGUUAUAGCAGACCUUCAGGGCCAGCAAAAACAGUUUAUUAUAACCAAACUUGAUUAUAUAUAACCAAUACAAUUUUUAUGCCCCCCUUUGAAAAAGAGGGGGCAUAUUGUUUUGCACCUGUCGGUCGGUCGGUCUGUCGGUCGGUUUGUAGACCAUGUGUUGUCCGCUCAAUAUCUUGAGAACCAUUCACUUGAUGAUAAUGAUAUUUCAUAUGUGGGUUAGUUAUGAGUAGAAGAGGAUCCCUAUUGUUUUUCAGGUCAAAAGUCAAGGGUCAAUCUACUCUGGACAUAGGAAUAUAAUGUCCGCUCAAUAUCUUGAGAACCCUUUGUUUGAAAGACAUCAAACUUGGCACACUGGUACAUCCUAGGAGUAGAUGACCCCUAUUGAUUUUGAGGUCAUAUGGUCAAAGGUCAAGGGUCAAACUGGGCAUAGGAAUAUACUGACCAUUCAAUGUCUAGAGAACCCUUUGCUUGACAGACAUCAAACUUGGUACGCCAGUACAUCUUCAGAAGAAGAUGACCCCCAUUGAUUUUGAGGUCACAUGGUCAAAGGUCAAGGGUCAAACUGGACAUAGGAAUAUACUGUCCGUUAAAUAUCUCGAGAACCCUUUGCUUGACAGACAUCAAACUUGAUACACUGGUACAUCUUCAAGAGAAGAUGACCCCUAUUGAUUUUGAGGUCACAUGGUCAAAGGUCAAGGGUCAAACUUGACAUGGGAAUAUAAUGUCUGCUCAGUAUCUUGAGAACCCUUUUCUUGACAGACAUCAAACUUAGUAAACUGAUAUGACUUCAGGAGAAGAUGACCACUAUUGAUUUUGAGGUCACAUGGUCAAAGGUCAAGGGUCACACUAGACAGGAAUAUACUGUCCGUUCAAUAUUUUAAGAACCCUUCGCUUGACAGACAUCAAACUUGGUACACUGGUACAUCUUCAGGAGAAAAUUACCCCUAUUGAUUUUCAGAUCACAUGGUCAAAGGUCAAGGGUCAAACUGGACAUUGGAAUAUACUGUCUGCUCCAUAUCUUGAGAACCCUUUGCUUGACAGACAUUAAACUUGGUACACUGGUACAUCUUCAGGAGAAGAUGACACCUAUUGAUUUUGAGGUCGCGUGGUCAAAGGUCAAGGGUUAAACUGUACAUGGGAAUAUACUGUCCGCUCAAUAUCUUGAGAACCCUUUGCUUGACAGACAUCAAACUUGGUACACUGGUACAUCUUCAGGAGAAGAUGACUACUAAUUAUUUUAAGGUCACAUGGUCAAAAGUCAAGGGUCAAAUUGGACAUAGGAAUAUACUGUCCGUUCAAUAUCUUGAGAACCCUUUGCUUGACAGACAUCAAACUUGGUACACUGGUACAUCUUCAGGAGUUGAUGACCCCUAUUGAUUUUUAGGUCACAUGGUCAAUCCACUCUUGACAUAGGAAGAUAUUGUCUGCAAAAUAUUUUGAAUUGAUGAUACUACUCUCAAUCAAAUGAUGUGUGUAUAACCCUUUUCAAUUUUGCACCAUGGGGGGCAUAUGUGUUUUACAAACAUCUCUUGUUGUUAUUUUCCUCUUAUCGGGGAAUAAAUAUAAUUUACCAUAAGCAUGAAUUUGUUAUAUGCCCAUCGAAAACGGAUGUUUUAUGGUAUGGCGUCGUCUGUCUGUCCGGACCUUGUGGGCAGGAUACAGACUGAACCGUAAGCUCCAGGAUUUUACAACUUGGUACAUUUGAUAACCAUGAUGAGAGGAAUAUGCCUAAUGUUUUUCAAGGUCAGAAGUCAAAGGUCAAGAUCGUAGUAUUACUUAGUGGGAAAACCUUGUGGUCAGGAUACAAACCAAACUGUGAGCUCCAGGAUAUUACAACUUCGUGUAUUUGAUCAUAAUGAUGAGAGGAAAGUGAAUAUUGUUUUUCAAGGUCAGAAGUCAAAGGACCAAACCAUAAGUUCCAGGAUAUUGCAACUUGGUUCAUUUGAUCACCACGCUGAGAGGAAGAUGCCUAUUAUUUUUCAAGGUCAAAGUAACAGUAUCACUUAAUAUGAAGACUUUGUAGGCAGUAUACAGACCAAACUGUUGGGGCUAGGACCGUCAAACUUUGUACACACACAUGUUGUGCUAAGUGAAGA